rnacentral:rRNA from 1 species
AUUGAACGCUGGCGGCAGGCCUAACACAUGCAAGUCGAACGGUAACAGAAAGCAGCUUGCUGCUUUGCUGACGAGUGGCGGACGGGUGAGUAAUGUCUGGGAAACUGCCUGAUGGAGGGGGAUAACUACUGGAAACGGUAGCUAAUACCGCAUAACGUCGCAAGCCCAAAGAGGGGGACCUUCGGGCCUCUUGCCAUCGGAUGUGCCCAGAUGGGAUUCGCUUGUUGGGGGGGUAACGGCUCACCCAGGCGACGAUCCGUAGCUGGUCUGAGAGGAUGACCAGCCACACGGGAACUGAGACACGGUCCAGACUCCUACGGGAGGCAGCAGUGGGGAAUAUUGCACAGUGGGCGCAAGCCUGAUGCAGCCAUGCCGCGUGUAUGAAGAAGGCCUUCGGGUUGUAAAGUACUUUCAGCGGGGAGGAAGGGAGUAAAGUUAAUACCUUUGCUCAUUGACGUUACCCGCAGAAGAAGCACCGGCUAACUCCGUG